rnacentral:lncRNA from 1 species
UUUCAAAGACUACACCUGUUGGUCUGGAUUGCAGCUGGAAUUGGAAGGGAAAUGCAUUUCCAUUGAAGGAAGAAGUAUGAGAGUGAGCAGGCAGGUGUCAGCAGAGCUCAAGAGAAUAACGUCAAGUGGACGAUGACUUACGGGCAGGAGGAGGCAGAUCAGCUAGGCAGAUGUGCAGAAGUUAAGUGUGGUUUCAUGCAGAAACUUCCAAGUGGAUUCAAGAGCCAAAGACUUCAAGAAGUUGGUGUAAUUGUCACUUGGAAUGUGUUUGUAUUAAUUCAGAUCAUACCUACCAAUAAUAUGGAGGAUUCAGAGAGGAGUUCCGGAGACGUGGGUCUGAUUCCAGCUUUGCCUCCUGCUAAAUAUCUAAUCCUGGGCAAGUCAUGUAGCCUCUGGGUGUUCCAGUCGGGCCACCUUUAAAAUGGGAAUAAUUCUGUCUACUUCACUUAUCUCAUGGAGCCAGGUGAGGACAUUCACAUUUUGGCAUAUAAUGUAAUAAGGUUGUAGAUGAAGCGUUUAUUAGGAUAAUGUCUUGGCUAAUAGGUUGGGCAGACCAGUUGACAUCCUCAGGGUAUCAUUGGAAGAACCCGAAGGUCUUAUCCAAGUGUGUUUCCCACCAAUAAUUCUCACAUUUCCACCUUUGGAUCUUUUGUUAAGGAUCCUGUGGGAAACUAGAUAUCAUAGGUUAUUAACCCCAUGAAGUCACGUUUCUAUUUCAAUCUACUUAUUUCACUUUUUUGUUAAAACUUCUGAAGCAAAUGAAUUUCUUAUCGAAUUGAUUUUAGACUGCUAUUAGCUCAGAUUCACUUCGUGAGUUAGAAUGCCUCUUAGAAAUAUAACACCCAGGGAAAAGCUUCCGGGUGAGUCUUUCUUUUUUGAUAGCAGUUGGCUAAUCCCCAUGAACAUGGACUUCAUCUUCUUUAGAUGCUUUAGGACAUGUGGCUAUGCAGUUAGGGAACUGCGAUCUGAGGCAGGGGAGUGUAGGAAAAGUAAGUGAUCGUGGGGAGUGGAGUCGCAAGACAGGGUGGGGGAAGGAUGGUUCUGGAGCACUUCGUGUUCCAUCCCAGCCCGAUGAGGCCCAGGAGAACUUUCUCCAGCCGAGGAGGCCCAGGUGAACUUUCUCCAUGUGGGGAGCUGUCGAGAACUUGAG